rnacentral:rRNA from 1 species
CUGCUGCCUCCCGUAGGAGUCUGGUCCGUGUCUCAGUACCAGUGUGGGGGACCUUCCUCUCAGAACCCCUACGCAUCGUCGGUUAGGUGGGCCGUUACCCCGCCUACUGCCUAAUGCGCCGCAUGCCCAUCCCUGUCCGGCCGAAGCCUUUCCUGCCUCCGGGAUGCCCCGGUGGCAUGUACGCGGGUUUAGCCCGCCUUCGCGGUGGUCCCUCC